UAAUAGUUAGUAUAUUGAGUACCCUGGUUUUGUAAACCGGAGGAUUUGACUAUUCU
rnacentral:tRNA from 1 species